rnacentral:rRNA from 1 species
AUUGAACGCUGGCGGCAUGCCUUACACAUGCAAGUCGAACGGUAACGCGGGGCAACCUGGCGACGAGUGGCGAACGGGUGAGUAAUGCAUCGGUACGUGCCCAGUUGUGGGGGAUAACUGAUCGAAAGAGCAGCUAAUACCGAAUACGACCUGAGGGUGAAAGCGGGGGAUCGCAAGACCUCGCGCAAUUGGAGCGGCCGAUGUCGGAUUAGCUAGUUGGUGGGGUAAAGGCCCACCAAGGCGACGAUCCGUAGCUGGUCUGAGAGGACGACCAGCCACACUGGGACUGAGACACGGCCCAGACUCCUACGGGAGGCAGCAGUAGGGAAUUUUGGACAAUGGACGCAAGUCUGAUCCAGCCAUGCCGCGUGCGGGAAGAAGGCCUUCGGGUUGUAAACCGCUUUUGUCAGGGAAGAAAUCUUCUGGGUUAAUACCUCGGGAGGAUGACGGUACCUGAAGAAUAAGCACCGGCUAACUACGUGCCAGCCGCCGCCGUAACAC